UGUCAGUUAUAAUUCAGUUGCCCAACAAUCAUUUUAAAAUAGCAGGAUGGCAAGGGGAGGACUCUGAUUUGUUUAUUAGGAAGAAGUUUACUGACAUGAUUACAAUGCAUGCUUUGAACCUGAAUAUCACCCUAAAGUUUCUAAAGAAAGAAGGAGCCUUAGAAUGUAUUAACUCAGUGACUAGACAAAAACUGCACUUAAGUUUUGUAGUCUUGAGACUAUUGCUAAUGCAUCAUUUCAAGACUUUGGUUAACAUAAAGUAUUAAGGACAUAUACCUGCCAUAGUGAACAUGCUUUGAUGUGUCCACAUUUCUGCAUUUAUUACUGUCUAUGAAAAUAUUAUCUAUGGAGAAGUCAAAUUGGUAGAAUUAAAAUGGUAAAAUUGACAAAAAGAAGAAGAAUGACAAAUAUUGACUGGGACUUUUGGAAAAUUGGCAUAUUAAUGCAUUAUUAGUUGAGUUUUAAUUAUUCCCCGUCAUUUUGGAAAGUAAUUUGGAACUAUCCGCCUAAAGUUACCACAUUGUAUGAUGUAUGAUGGUAUCCAGUGAUACCAUUACUAGAUCAGAUACCACUACUAGAUUACAGGUUCAUAAACUUAUAGCCAAGGAAAUAAAAGAAAGAGGAAAUGGAUCAGUAUAUAUAAGUUUAUUAUGAUACUUCUUCUUGUACUGGUAAAGAACUGGAAACGAAGGAGGAGCCCAUCAAAUGGAGAAUAGCUAAACAAUUCUGCUACAUAAAUAUAAUGGAAAACUAUCAUGCUUUAAAAAAUUAUGAAAGGUACAAUUUCAGAAAAACCUGGAAAGAUUUGAAUGAACUAAUAUAAUGAUAGAGCCAUAACCAGAAGAACAAUUCCUAUAAAUAUAAUAAACACUUUGAAGACAACUCUGAAAAACUUAAAAACUCAUAUCAAGGAAAUGAGCAAAAACUUUCAGAGUACUGAUGAAACAUGCUACACACUUUCUGAUAAAGAGGUAACAUUCUCAGUAUACAGAUUAAGAUAUAUAUUUUACAGAAAUAGUCAAGUUGAUUUUUUUUUAACUUUAAUAGAUAUAUUUACAAUAUGGGUAGAAAGAAAAUCCAUUUUUGUUAAUUCCCCCCCCCAAAAAAAAAAACAACCCCAACCCAAAUGAAUGAAUGAAUGAAUAAAUAUUUUUUAAAAAGAAGAACAUUCACAAGAUUUAUCCCUAAUUUAAUUUCUGGGCAAUCUAGACAAACCCUGGAUUUUUGUGAACUAUAUAAACCACUGUGGAAUGCACCUGCCUUCAAGAACCUCUGAGCCUAGAAUAGCCCCUUCUCCCAAGUCAUGAGGUCUGUAUAAGCCUGUAAGUCUUAAAAAUUUGAACAAGAAUAGAGUAACACUUGAUGCUUGGGUUUGCCAAAGCUAAUUUCUGCUUCAGUUGUCUACAAUUCACAAACUGAGGUCAAGAAACAUGUCCCAGGGAGCAUGCAAUCAAUCAAAUUGAGGGCAACAACAUAGGUAAUACCCCACCCUCCUCAGAAUAGUCAUCAUGGAGUUUUGUCUCCAACACAAUCACAUCCAUCUUGUCCUCCAUUCUGAGUCUGAUGCUCUUUAGAGUAGUUAUCACCUAAAAGAUACCCAGACAUCUAGAGCAGUAGCUAUGAAGAAGUCACUGGAAAAUUCUUUCUCCUCUUCCAGAUCCUCAUCUUAUAUUAAUAGAUAAUGUUGUUUUUCUGUUUUGUAGGCAAACUUCCUGCUCUUCAUUUUGGUUGAGACAUAAUGAGUCACAGAGAAUGAUUCUAUCACUUCCCAAUAGUGAUACUGGCACAAUGGAAAAAGCACUGACUUUGGAAUCAGGGACUGAAUAAAAAUAGACUUACUGCCUUUGUGAUGUUGGGCUCUAAAUGAAAAAGUACUUGACUCCCAAAUCUCACAAAUAUGAUGUGUUACUUUCAUCCCUCCCUCAAUUCCUGUAUGUUUGUCACCUAAAUGGAAUCUUUUUUAAAAACAUUAUUUUUGUCCUAUUUAAUAAAAAUAUGUAUAUGCAAUGAAAA